AGCGGCGGACGGGUGAGUAACGCGUGAGCAACCUUUCCCAGACAGGGGAAUAACACACCGAAAGGUGUACUAAUACCGCAUAAGACCACGGGAUCACAUGGUUCUGGGGUAAAAGAUCUAUCGGUUUGGGGUGGGCUCGCGUCCGAUUAGGUAGUUGGUGAGGUAACGGCCCACCAAGCCGACGAUCGGUAGCCGACCUGAGAGGGUGAUCGGCCACAUUGGGACUGAGACACGGCCCAAACUCCUACGGGAGGCAGCAGUGGGGAAUAUUGGGCAAUGGGGGGAACCCUGACCCAGCAACGCCGCGUGGAGGAAGAAGGUUUUCGGAUCGUAAACUCCUGUCCUUGGAGACGAGUAGAAGACGGUAUCCAAGGAGGAAGCCCCGGCUAACUACGUGCCAGCAGCCGCGGUAAUACGUAGGGGGCAAGCGUUGUCCGGAAUAAUUGGGCGUAAAGGGCGCGUAGGCGGCUCGGUAAGUCUGGAGUGAAAGUCCUGCUUUUAAGGUGGGAAUUGCUUUGGAUACUGUCGGGCUUGAGUGCAGGAGAGGUUAGUGGAAUUCCCAGUGUAGCGGUGAAAUGCGUAGAGAUUGGGAGGAACACCAGUGGCGAAGGCGACUAACUGGACUGUAACUGACGCUGAGGCGCGAAAGUGUGGGGAGCAAACAGGAUUAGAUACCCUGGUAGUCCACACUGUAAACGAUGAAUGCUAGGUGUAGGGGGUAUCGACCCCUUCUGUGCCGCAGUCAACACAAUAAGCAUUCCGCCUGGGGAGUACGGCCGCAAGGUUGAAACUCAAAGGA
rnacentral:rRNA from 1 species